GAUCAUGGCUCAGGAUGAACGCUGGCGGCAGGCUUAAUACAUGCAAGUCGAACGGUAAGGCCGAGUGUAGCAAUACACGAGGUACACGAGUGGCGCACGGGUGCGUAACGCGUAUGCAACCUGCCCCCGACCGGGACAAAACAGCUGGAAACGGCUGCUAAUAUCCCAUGGUCAUGCGGAAGGGCAUCCUUCUUCAUGUAAAGAUUCAUUGGUCGGGGAUGGGCAUGCGUAUUAUUAGGUAGUUGGCGGGGUAACGGCCCACCAAGCCGACGAUGAUUAGGGGUCCUGAGAGGGUUAACCCCCACACUGGAACUGAGACACGGUCCAGACUCCUACGGGAGGCAGCAGUAGGGAAUAUUGGGCAAUGGGAGCAAUCCUGACCCAGCCAUGCCGCGUGAAGGAAGACGGCCCUAUGGGUUGUAAACUUCUUUUGCCGCAGAGUAAACCCGGUCACGUGUGGUCGGUUGAGAGUAUGCGGCGAAUAAGUAUCGGCUAACUCCGUGCCAGCAGCCGC
rnacentral:rRNA from 1 species